rnacentral:rRNA from 1 species
CCUACGGGAGGCAGCAGUGGGGAAUAUUGCACAAUGGGGGAAACCCUGAUGCAGCGACGCCGCGUGAGUGAAGAAGUAUUUCGGUACGUAAAGCUCUAUCAGCAGGGAAGAAAAUGACGGUACCUGACUAAGAAGCCCCGGCUAACUACGUGCCAGAAGCCGCGGUAAUACGUAGGGGGCAAGCGUUAUCCGGAUUUACUGGGUGUAAAGGGAGCGUAGACGGCAGCGCAAGUCUGGAGUGAAAUCCCAUGGCUUAACCAUGGAACUGCUUUGGAAACUGUGCAGCUAGAGUGCAGGAGUGGUAAGCGGAAUUCCUAGUGUAGCGGUGAAAUGCGUAGAUAUUAGGAGGAACACCAGUGGCGAAGGCGGCUUACUGGACUGUAACUGACGUUGAGGCUCGAAAGCGUGGGGAGCAAACAGGAUUAGAUACCCUUGUAGUC